UUGCUACGUACUAACUCCAACCCAAUGUGAACGUUACCAAACUGUUGCCUCGGCGGGGUCACGCCCCGGGUGCCACGCAGCCCCGGAACCAGGCGCCCGCCGGAGGAACCAACCAAACUCUUUCUGUAGUCCCCUCGCGGACGUAUUUCUUUACAGCUCUGAGCAAAAAUUCAAAAUGAAUCAAAACUUUCAACAACGGAUCUCUUGGUUCUGGCAUCGAUGAAGAACGCAGCGAAAUGCGAUAAGUAAUGUGAAUUGCAGAAUUCAGUGAAUCAUCGAAUCUUUGAACGCACAUUGCGCCCGCCAGUAUUCUGGCGGGCAUGCCUGUCCGAGCGUCAUUUCAACCCUCGAACCCCUCCGGGGGAUCGGCGUUGGGGAUCGGGACCCCUCACACGGGUGCCGGCCCCUAAAUACAGUGGCGGUCUCGCCGCAGCCUCUCCUGCGCAGUAGUUUGCACAACUCGCACCGGGAGCGCGGCGCGUCCACGUCCGUAAAACACCCAACUUUCUGAAAUGUUGACCUCGGAUCAGGUAGGAAUACCCGCUGAACUUAAGCAUAUCAAUAAGCGGA
rnacentral:rRNA from 1 species